UACGAAGGGGGCUAGCGUUGUUCGGAUUUACUGGGCGUAAAGCGCGCGUAGGCGGGUUGUUAAGUCAGGGGUGAAAUCCUGGAGCUCAACUCCAGAACUGCCUUUGAUACUGGCAACCUAGAGGCUGGAAGAGGUUAGUGGAAUUCCCAGUGUAGAGGUGAAAUUCGUAGAUAUUGGGAAGAACACCAGUGGCGAAGGCGGCUAACUGGUCCAGAUCUGACGCUGAGGUGCGAAAGCGUGGGGAGCAAACAGG
rnacentral:rRNA from 1 species